rnacentral:rRNA from 1 species
CACCGCGGUUAUACGAGAGGCUCAAGCUGACAGACAACGGCGUAAAGUGUGGUUAAGGCAGACCCUCCCCCACUAAAGUCGAACACCCUCAGAGCUGUUAUACGUUCCCGAGGGCAAGAAGCUCCACCACGAAAGUGACUUUAUUUUCCCCGACCCCACGAAAGCUGUGACA